GGAAUAUUGCACAAUGGGGGAAACCCUGAUGCAGCGACGCCGCGUGAAGGAUGAAGUAUUUCGGUAUGUAAACUUCUAUCAGCAAGGAAGAAAAUGACGGUACUUGACUAAGAAGCCCCGGCUAAAUACGUGCCAGCAGCCGCGGUAAUACGUAGGGGGCAAGCGUUAUCCGGAUUUACUGGGUGUAAAGGGAGCGUAGACGGCAUGGCAAGUCUGAUGUGAAAGGCGGGGGCUUAACCCCCGGACUGCAUUGGAAACUGCCUAGCUAGAGUGCCGGAGGGGUAAGCGGAAUUCCUAGUGUAGCGGUGAAAUGCGUAGAUAUUAGGAGGAACACCAGUGGCGAAGGCGGCUUACUGGACGGCAACUGACGUUAAGGCUCGAAAGCGUGGGGAUCAAACA
rnacentral:rRNA from 1 species